CAAUAGCGUAUAUUAAAGUUGUUGCGGUUAAAAAAGCUCGUAGUUGGAGUUCUGCCAGGUGGCGCUCGUCCGCCCAAGUGGUGUGUACAGGGCGUGCAUCUGGCCCUUUCAAGGGGAACGUGUCUGCACUUCAUUGUGUGGUGCGAGAUCCUUGACUUUUACUUUGAGGAAAUAAGAGUGUUCCAAGCAGGCUCUCGUCGUGCAUAGCUCAGCAUGGAAUAAUAGCAUUGGACUUCGUUUCUACGCUGUUGGUUGCAAGAAGCGAGGUAAUGAUGAAGAGGGAUAGUUGGGGGGCAUUCGUAUUUAACUGUCAGAGGUGAAAUUCUUGGAUUUGUUGAAGACGGACUACUGCGAAAGCAUCUGCCAAAGAUGCUCUCAUUGAUCAAGAACGAAAGUUAGGGGAUCGAAGACGAUCAGAU
rnacentral:rRNA from 1 species